rnacentral:rRNA from 1 species
AUUGAACGCUGGCGGCAGGCCUAACACAUGCAAGUCGAACGGUAACAGGAAGCAGCUUGCUGCUUUGCUGACGAGUGGCGGCCGGGUGAGUAAUGUCUGGGAAACUGCCUGAUGGAGGGGGAUAACUACUGGAAACGGUAGCUAAUACCGCAUAACGUCGCAAGACCAAAGAGGGGGACCUUCGGGCCUCUUGCCAUCGGAUGUGCCCAGAUGGGAUUAGCUAGUAGGUGGGGUAACGGCUCACCUAGGCGACGAUCCCUAGCUGGUCUGAGAGGAUGACCAGCCACACUGGAACUGAGACACGGUCCAGACUCCUACGGGAGGCAGCAGUGGGGAAUAUUGCACAAUGGGCGCAAGCCUGAUGCAGCCAUGCCGCGUGUAUGAAGAAGGCCUUCGGGUUGUAAAGUACUUUCAGCGGGGAGGAAGGGAGUAAAGUUAAUACCUUUGCUCAUUACGUUACCCGCAGAAGAAGCACCGGCUAACUCCGUG